rnacentral:rRNA from 1 species
UACGUAGGUGGCAAGCGUUGUCCGGAAUCACUGGGCGUAAAGCGCGCGCAGGCGGCGAUCUACGUCUGGGGGUGAAAGCCCGGAGCUCAACUCCGGGACUGCCUUGGAUACGGGAUCGCUUGAGGAUUGGAGAGGCAAGGGGGAAUUCCACGUGUAGCGGUGAAAAUGCGUAGAUAUGUGGAGGAACACCUGUGGCGAAGGCGCCUUGCUGGCCAAUUUCUGACGCUGAGGCGCGAAAGCGUGGGGAGCAAACAGG